UCUCCAAUCUUCGUCGUUACGUUUUCAUCUUCUUUUUCUCCUUCCGAGUUCCAACAAUGGCUUCCUGAAUCCGAUUCUGGAGCUCCAUCGCCACCAUCGUCAACCCCAAAGAUCACAUCAUGAAGCUUGCUCUUUCCGUCCUCUUCCUCUCUCUCAGGCUUCUCCUCUUUUCUUCGUCCUGCCACUGCUAGAGGCGGCCUUCACAGUUCCUACCCUCCAGGUUUCGAAUUUGGUCCUCGCGCUGGUUCCGGCAGGCAAUUGUUUGAAGAUAAGGAAGCUCAGGCGCGUGUUGAUGUAGCUCAAGGGUACAUGAUAACUCUGACCUGGGACAGGCCAUUAAGGCGUUCGGCCAAAGAUGCGGUAACAUUUCUACGGCUUACAGUACAUUGGAAAUGUGCAUGGAGAUGAACCUGUAGGCCGUGAGCUUCUAAUUCUACUUGCAUUGAAUAUGUGACAACUAUUUGAAUGAUCCUCUGGAAACAACACUUAUCAAAUGGCUCGGUUGAUAAAGAGAUUGGGCACUUUAUUUUCCAUGAAGGAAUUGGUGCCUCUCAACUACUUCCUAGGUGUUGAAGGAACUUGCUAUGGUGAUCAAAUGCAUCUCACACAGUCCAAAUGUCCUGGACUUGCUGGAACGUACUAAAUUUACCAAUGCCAAGCCAAUCUCGACUCCAGUUUCUUCUGGACAAAAACAGAGUGCUUUUGGGGAUGAAUCAUAUACUAAUCCUGAAUUAUACCGAAGUGUUGUAGGUGCCCUACAUUAUUUGACCAUUACGAGACCUGAUCUUUCUUAUGUUGUGAACCAAGUGUGUCAAUUCAUGCAUUCGCCAACAACACGCAUUGGAUGACAGUUAAAAGGAUCCUACGUUAUUUGUAGGCUACCUAUUUAUAGGGUCUUGUUUAUAGACCUGGAAGUGUACAAUUGACUGC